rnacentral:rRNA from 1 species
CGAAGGGGGCUAGCGUUGUUCGGAAUUACUGGGCGUAAAGCGUAGGUAGGCGGUUUUCCAAGUCAAGGGUGAAAUCCCGAGGCUCAACCUCGGAAUUGCCUUUGAAACUGGAUUACUGGAGAAAGUUAGAGGCAAGUGGAAUUCCUAGUGUAGGAGUGAAAUCCGUAGAUAUUAGGAGGAACAUCGAUGGCGAAGGCAGCUUGCUGGGACUUUUCUGACGCUGAGCUACGAAAGCGUGGGUAGCAAACAGGAUUAGAUACCCUGGUAGUCCACGCCCUAAACGAUGGAUGCUAGACGUCGGGCCCUUGAGGUUCGGUGUCGUAGCUAACGCGUUAAGCAUCCCGCCUGGGGAGUACGGUCGCAAGAUUA